CCGGGGGAGCGGCCAGGGACAGGCUCUGCACAGAACGUGGGAACUAUUUGGGGAUGGGGCUGGCACGUUAGACCUGGUGAGAUCAGUUGCCAGCUCUCCCGGACCGAAGGAAUAGGUCCGAUUGGCGGAAAUGGCGGCUGGUCCGGAAGAGUUGGCAACUCUCCCGCCCGGGGUUGAGUGGCGGCUGCAGAGUGCAGAGCCCUGAGCCCCAGGGGUACUGGGGGCUGUGGAGCCCAUGGCAGGGGCAGCUUGCAGUGAGACGCCCGAGGGCAGAGGGACCUUGGGGGGGCUGUCAAAGCCAAUGGCGGCAGGACUCCAAGGGGGCUGGCAAAGUGCUUGGGGCCAGUGGGACCCCUUGGAGGCUGCCCGGAGGCCAGGCCCCGGGUGCAGGGCUGUGCCUAUGGGUAUGGGGCAGGGGUAGGUCAUUGCGAUGGAAAGUGGCUGCACAGAUCCCCGCGUCAGAGGCCCCUCCUGGUAGCUGGAAGGGACCUCGAGAGGUCAUCAAGUCCAGUCCCCUGCCCUCACGGCAGGACCAAGUACCAGCCCUGCCUUGGUGCAGAGACCAGUGAUGCAAAGCAAGCCUGUGAACUCGUGUGUGUUACUAAGGUGUGUCAGGCUCCAGGGCAGAGAAGAGCAGAACGUGCGCGAGGAGAGUUGCCGAGAAGAUGCCGUUUCUGUAUCUGGUGCUGCGACUCCGCUGCACCAGC